rnacentral:rRNA from 1 species
GACGAACGCUGGCGGCGUGCUUAACACAUGCAAGUCGAGCGGAAAAGGCCCUUCGGGGUACUCGAGCGGCGAACGGGUGAGUAACACGUGAGUAACCUGCCCUUCACUUUGGGAUAACCCUCGGGAAACGGGGGGCUAAUACCGGAUAUGGACACAUGCUCGCAUGGGGUGGUGUGUGGAAAGUNUUUUUUUGGNGGGGGAUGGGGCUCGCGGCCUAUCAGCUU